AGUGAACGCUGGCGGUAGGCCUAACACAUGCAAGUCGAACGGCAGCACAGUAAGAGCUUGCUCUUACCGGUGGCGAGUGGCGGACGGGUGAGGAAUACAUCGGCAUCUUCUUUUUCGUGGGGGAUAACGUAAGGAAACUUACGCUAAUACCGCAUACGACCUACGGGUGAAAGCAGGGGAUCUUCGCACCUUGCGCGAUUGAAUGAGCCGAUGUCGGAUUAGCUAGUUGGCGGGGUAAAGGCCCAGCAAGGCGACGAUCCGUAGCUGGUCUGAGAGGAUGAUCGGCCACACUAGAACUGAGACACGGUCCAGACUCCUACGAGAGGCAGCAGUGGGGAAUAUUGGGCAAUGGGCGCAAGCCUGAUCCAGCGAUACCGCGUGGGUGAAGAAGGCCUUCGGGUUGUAAAGCCCUUUUGUUGGGAAAGAAAAGCAGCAGGUUAAUACCCCGCUGUUCUGACGGUACCCAAUGAAUAAGCACCGGCUAACUACGUG
rnacentral:rRNA from 1 species